AUUGAACGCUGGCGGCAGGCCUAACACAUGCAAGUCGAACGAGUGGCGGACGGGUGAGUAAUGUCUGGGAAAGUGCCUGAUGGAGGGGGAUAACUACUCGAAACGGUAGCUAAUACCGCAUACCAUCGGAUGUGCCCAUAUGGGAUUAGCUAGUAGGUGGGGUAAAGGCUCACCUAGGCGACGCUCCCUAGCUGGUCUGAGAGGAUGACCAGCCACACUGGAACUGAGACACGGUCCAGACUCCUACGGGAGGCAGCAGUGGGGAAUAUUGCACAAUGGGCGCAAGCCUGAUGCAGCCAUGCCGCGUGUAUGAAGAAGGCCUUCGGGUUGUAAAGUACUUUCAGCGGGGAGGCGGUACCCGCAGAAGAAGCACCGGCUAACUCCGUGCCAGCAGCCGCGGUAAUUC
rnacentral:rRNA from 1 species